rnacentral:rRNA from 1 species
CCUACGGGUGGCUGCAGUGGGGGAUAUUGCACAAUGGGGGGAACCCUGAUGCAGCGACGCCGCGUGGGCGAUGGAGUGCUUCGGCAUGUAAAGCCCUAUCAGCAGGGAAGAAAAUGACGGUACCUGACUAAGAAGCCCCGGCUAAAUACGUGCCAGCAGCCGCGGUAAUACGUAUGGGGCAAGCGUUAUCCGGAUUUACUGGGUGUAAAGGGAGCGUAGGCGGCCUGGCAAGCCUGAUGUGAAAUACCGGGGCCCAACCCCGGGGCUGCAUUGGGAACUGCCAGGCUGGAGUGCCGGAGAGGCAGGCGGAAUUCCUAGGGUAGCGGUGAAAUGCGUAGAUAUGACGAAGAACCCCGAUUGCGAAGGCAGCUUGCUGCAGCGGAACUGACGCUGAUGCUCGAAAGCGCGGGUAUCGAACAGGAUUAGAUACCCGUGUAGUC